AAUCGAACCCGGAGAUAGCUGGUUCUCUCCGAAAUAGCUUUAGGGCUAGCCUCGACUGAACAUUACCGGAGGUAAAGCACUGAAUGGGCUAGGGGCCGAGAGGUUACUGAACCCUAUCAAACUAAGAAUGCCGGAUAAUGAUAGUCGGGAGUCAGACAGUGUGAGAUAAGUUUCAUUGUCGAAAGGGAAACAGCCCAGACCCACAGCUAAGGUCCCAAAGUAUCGUUAAGUGGAAAAGGAUGUGGAACUGCCCAGACAACCAGGAUGUUGGCUCAGAAGCAGCCAUACAUUCAAAGAGUGCGUAAUAGCUCACUGGUCGAGUGGUUCUGCGCCGAAAAUUUAACGGGGCUAAACGAUACACCGAAGCUUGGGAUGCAGCAUUGGCUGCAUGGUAGGAGAGCGUUCUGUACGGGGUGAAGUCAUAGCGGAAGCGGUGGUGGACUGUACAGAAGAGAGAAUGCCGGAAUGAGUAGCGAGAUUUAUGUGAGAAUCAUAAAGGCCGAAAGACUAAGGAUUUAGAAGGAAGGUUCGUCCGCUUCUAGUUAGCCGGGAGCUAAGGCGAGGCCGAAAGGCGUAGUCGAUGCACAUACGGUGGAGAUUCCGUAGCCGCCUCUUAAUUUAAGCAAAGGGACACUUUCAAAGGGAAUGACCCGGGCGUUGGUAGCCCCGGGCGAAAGGGACCGAAAUUAGAGUAGGGAAGCAUUUCUGGAGGAAGGCGAGAAAAGCUUUGCGGAUAGAGAGAGGCGCCCGUACCGCAAACCGACACAGGUAGUCAGGAAGAGGAUUCUAAGGCCAACGGGAGAAGGGUAGUUAAGGAACUCGGCAAAUUGACCCCGUAACUUCGGAAUAAGGGGUGCUCCUGAAAAGGAGCCGCAGUGAAUAGGCCCAGGCGACUGUUUAUCAAAAACACAGCUCUCUGCUAAAUCGAAAGAUGAAGUAUAGGGGGUGACACCUGCCCGGUGCUGGAAGGUUAAGAGGAAGGGUGCAAGCUCUGAAUUGAAGCCCCAGUAAACGGCGGCCGUAACUAUAACGGUCCUAAGGUAGCGAAAUUCCUUGUCGGGUAAGUUCCGACCCGCACGAAUGGUGUAACGAUCUGGGCACUGUCUCAACUACCCACCCGGCGAAAUUGUAGUACCGGUGAAGAUGCCGGUUACCCGCGGCAAGACGGAAAGACCCCAUGGAGCUUUACUGUAGCCUGAUAUUGGGUUUCGGUAUUCUAUGUACAGGAUAGGCGGGAGACUGGGAACCGAUGGCGUCAGCUGUCGGGGAGUCACCCUUGGGAUACCGCUCUUAGAGUACUGGAAUUCUAACCUGCGGCCGUGAAUCCGGCCGGGGGACAUUGUCAGGUGGGCAGUUUGACUGGGGCGGUCGCCUCCAAAAAGGUAACGGAGGCGCUCAAAGGUUCGCUCAGCACGGACGGAAACCGUGCCUCUGAGUGCAAACGCAAAAGCGAGCCUAACUGCGAGGCUGACGGGCCGAGCAGUAACGAAAGUUGGAGUUAGUGAUCCGGCGGUAUGUGAGUGGAAAUGCCGUCGCUCAACGGAUAAAAGCUACCCUGGGGAUAACAGGCUGAUCUCCCCCAAGAGUCCACAUCGACGGGGAGGUUUGGCACCUCGAUGUCGGCUCAUCACAUCCUGGGGCUGAAUUCGGUCCCAAGGGUUCGGCUGUUCGCCGAUUAAAGUGGUACGCGAGCUGGGUUCAGAACGUCGUGAGACAGUUCGGUCCCUAUCUGUCGUGGGCGCAGGAUAUUUGAGGAGCGCUGUCCCUAGUACGAGAGGACCGGGAUGGACGCACCGCUGGUGCACCAGUUGUCACGCCAGUGGCACAGCUGGGCAGCUAAGUGCGGAAAGGAUAAACGCUGAAAGCAUCUAAGCGUGAAGCCACCUCCAAGAUAAGAUAUCCCACAGCGUAAGCUGGUAAGACCCCUCAAGGACUAUGAGGUUGAUAGGCUGCAUGUGUAAGUGUUGUGAGACAUUGAGCUUGGCAGUACUAAUAGGUCGAGGGCUUGACCA
rnacentral:rRNA from 1 species